rnacentral:rRNA from 1 species
CCUACGGGCGGCAGCAGUCGAGAAUCAUUCACAAUGGGGGAAACCCUGAUGGUGCGACGCCGCGUGGGGGAAUGAAGGUCUUCGGAUUGUAAACCCCUGUCAUGUGGGAGCAAAUUAAAAAGAUAGUACCACAAGAGGAAGAGACGGCUAACUCUGUGCCAGCAGCCGCGGUAAUACAGAGGUCUCAAGCGUUGUUCGGAAUCACUGGGCGUAAAGCGUGCGUAGGCUGUUUCGUAAGUCGUGUGUGAAAGGCGCGGGCUCAACCCGCGGACGGCACAUGAUACUGCGAGACUAGAGUAAGGGAGGGGGAACCGGAAUUCUCGGUGUAGCAGUGAAAUGCGUAGAUAUCGAGAGGAACACUCGUGGUGAAGGCGGGUUCCUGGACAUUAACUGACGCUGAGGCACGAAGGCCAGGGGAGCGAAAGGGAUUAGAUACCCGUGUAGUC